UCCAGGACAACAGGCUCAACCAAUCAGAGUGAGAGCUGCGUUUUUCCCUCGGCUUUCAGUCCGCUGCUGUCUGCAGUUCGCGAUGGCUGAACGAGCUGGGGAACUGCUGCUCAACUAUCUGCUUGAAAGACUUUACAACCGUUCCUCUAAUUGGCUUGAUCGAGUUCCUCUAGAUCUCGAUUUUUUGGAAUUUGUAUGUUGUCAGGAGCUGGUUAUUCUGGGUGCUAUCUCAAACCAGUUUGACGUCCCUCAGGACAUUUUAAAUGCACUUGCCCAAGUUUAUCAGAGACCUGCAGUCAAAAUAAAAAAGCACAAAUUAUUGUUGCUCACGAAAGAGGAGCCAUUGGUCGUCCCAAACUACUUAUUCCUGAGAAAUACACAGAACACCUCAUUUCUUUAGGUUUACCUGUCACGUGUAUUGCACAGCUGCUGGGGAUAUCUAGAGUUACAUUACACAGGCGAGUGAAAGAAUGGGGUUUAAAUGUGAGCCAAACUUACAGCACCAUGACUCACGAUGAGCUAGACUCUCUAGUGUCACAGAUCCAUGCCAGAAACCCAAAUGCAGGGUAUAGAUUGAUAAUAAUAAUAAUGCAUUGAACUUAUAUAGCGCUUUUCAAGUCACCAUUAUGAAAGGUCUGCUGAAGUCACAAGGAUAUAGACUUCAGUGGGAGCGUGUUCGGUCCUCUAUGCGCAGAUUAGACACUGCAGGCGUGGUUUCCUGAACGUCCCAUCUCCGUUGUGUGGUCAGAAGAACGUAUUCUGUGCCUAGCCCACAAUCAUUUUAUUGCAGGAGCUUUACAUUCCACAGAUUGAAUGGGAAUCCAGUGGACUCAUCGACAAUGAACACAACUCUGGUGCUCAAGUUCCAGAAGUUGAAUGCCCGCUAAGUCCAGGAGAAUAUUCUGGACUCUGUGCAGCUGUGGAUCCACUGAGGUCAAUCUUGGGAUUGACAGUUAUUUAGCCACACGGCAUUACAUGCAAACCAUUGGCUAUAAUAAAAUCUUUCAUUUUUUGCA